rnacentral:rRNA from 1 species
AGAACUUAGCAGAGAUGCUUUGGUGCCUUCGGGAACUCUGAGACAGGUGCUGCAUGGCUGUCGUCAGCUCGUGUUGUGAAAUGUUGGGUUAAGUCCCGCAACGAGCGCAACCCUUAUCCUUUGUUGCCAGCGGUCCGGCCGGGAACUCAAAGGAGACUGCCAGUGAUAAACUGGAGGAAGGUGGGGAUGACGUCAAGUCAUCAUGGCCCUUACGAGUAGGGCUACACACGUGCUACAAUGGCGCAUACAAAGAGAAGCGACCUCGCGAGAGCAAGCGGACCUCAUAAAGUGCGUCGUAGUCCGGAUUGGAGUCUGCAACUCGACUCCAUGAAGUCGGAAUCGCUAGUAAUCGUGGAUCAGAAUGCCACGGUGAAUACGUUCCCGGGCCUUGUGCACACCGCCCGUCACACCAUGGGAGUGGGUUGCAAAAGAAGUAGGUAGCUUAACCUUCGGGAGGGCGCUUACCACUUUGUGAUUCAUGACUGGGGUGAAGUCGUAACAAGGUAGGCGUAGUGCU